AGUGAACGCUGGCGGUAGGCCUAACACAUGCAAGUCGAACGGCAGCACAGUAAGCGCUUGCUCUUACGGGUGGCGAGUGGCGGACGGGUGAGGAAUACAUCGGAAUCUACUUUUUCGUGGGGGAUAACGUAGGGAAACUUACGCUAAUACCGCAUACGACCUACGGGUGAAAGCAGGGGAUCUUCGGACCUUGCGCGAUUGAAUGAGCCGAUGUCGGAUUAGCUAGUUGGCGGGGUAAAGGCCCACCAAGGCGACGAUCCGUAGCUGGUCUGAGAGGAUGAUCAGCCACACUGGAACUGAGACACGGUCCAGACUCCUACGGGAGGCAGCAGUGGGGAAUAUUGGACAAAGGGCGCAAGCCUGAUCCAGCAAUACCGCGUGGGUGAAGAAGGUCUUCGGGUUGUAAAGCUCUGUUGUUGGGAAAGAAAAGCAGCAGGUGAAUACCCCGCUGUCCUGACGGUACCCAAAGAAAAAGCACCGGCUAACUUCGUG
rnacentral:rRNA from 1 species